rnacentral:rRNA from 1 species
GACGAACGCUGGCGGCGUGCUUAACACAUGCAAGUCGAACGGAAAGGCCCUGCAUUUGUGGGGUGCUCGAGUGGCGAACGGGUGAGUAACACGUGAGUAACCUGCCCUUGACUUUGGGAUAACUUCAGGAAACUGGGGCUAAUACCGGAUAGGAGCUCCUGCUGCAUGGUGGGGGUUGGAAAGUUUCGGCGGGUGGGGAUGGACUCGCGGCUUAUCAGCUUGUUGGUGGGGUAGUGGCUUACCAAGGCUUUGACGGGUAGCCGGCCUGAGAGGGUGACCGGCCACAUUGGGACUGAGAUACGGCCCAGACUCCUACGGUAGGCAGCAGUGGGGAGUAUUGCACAAUGGGCGGAAGCCUGAUGCAGCAACGCCGCGUGCGGGAUGACGGCCUUCGGGUUGUAAACCGCUUUCGCCUGUGACGAAGCGUGAGUGACGGUAAUGGGUAAAGAAGCACCGGCUAACUACGUG